ensembl:lncRNA
CUGUUUUUUCCUGGAAACGCCUAAGUUGUUUGCCAAGCCCUUCGACCAGGCCCGUGGAGCUCCUGGGAGGCUCAGCACCCAGAUUUGAGCCCCUGGCUUUCCCGCUGUGGGUGGAGAGUGUGGAAGUGACCCCGGCUCUGUGCUCCCACACUGACCACACGUCAACUGGAAGACCCCUUUGGAAAGGAAAAGGAGCCCAACCAACGGUUCCCAGAGAGUGUGAACUUAGUGCAUGAAGCUAGCGCGUCCAGGGCUCCAGCAGGCGGACUGUCGUGGAUGCUGUGGUGAGCUGCCAAGAUCCUGCUUCAGGACAGGGGCUCUCGACUUCUCAGACUCGUGGAGUGUUGGCUAUGUCAUUCUGUUCUGGACAUUACCCUCAGCCUCAGGAAGCUUCUUUGGCCAAGCUUAAACACCCUCAACCUGUGGACCACUUUCUGUCAGAGGCGGCUGCGACCGGCGCACUAGGCACGGCGGAGAGGAGCUACCCCAUGUCCGAGGUCAGGGGCAGAAGCCGGGAGGACCCCACGCGCAAAGGGCAGCGGCCAAGAGGAGUUACCCCACGUCCGAGGUUGGGGGCAGCGGCCGAGAGUGCCAGGCUGCGACGGUGCAGGAACAGCUGAGAGGAGCCACCCUGCGUCCGAGGCCAGGGGCGACAGCCGGGAGGAGUGACCCCAGGUCCAAGGAGCGGUGGCUGCACGGGCCAGGAGGGCCUAGAGGAGCCAUCCCACGUUGAGGGUCAGGAAGGGCGGCGGUGAGGAGAUACCCCUCAUCCAAGGUAAGGAGCAGCGGCUGCGCCUUGCUGAAGCAACCGUGAAGAGAUACCCCAUGCCCAAGGUAAGAGAAACCCAAGUAAGAUGGUAGGUGUUGUAAGAGGGCAUCACAGGGCAGAGCAGACACACUGAAACCAUACUCACAGAAAACUAGUCAAUCUAAUCACACUAGGACCACAGCCUUGUCUAACUCAAUGAUCAAUUUUAGAUAUUUGUAUAUCAGGACCUUCCCAUAACAAAUGAAUUGGUUCAUUUGGACCGUUACCCACAUCUCUGCCCCCAGUUCAUUUUACACACACACAGACAACCUUUUCGUCUCUUUAUUAGUUUAAAUCAUACAUGUAUGCAUUUUGUAUCCCAUCAGUGGUGAACAGUAAACUUUGACUCAAGUCUUAUGAAAUGAGUGUAUGACUCUCCAACCCUUCUUAUCACCUUCUCUCCCACUUCGCCUCUUCUGCUUCUCAUUUUUAGCAACCAUACUUUCACUUUUAAGUGUUAAGAUGGAUAACAUUUAUGUUUUGUUUUGUUUUACAGUCUACCAAACUUCAUCUGUAGGUUGAUUCCAGAAGUGGAACAUCCAUGAAGCAAAUCAUGUUUACUUUACUGGGACUAGAAUUUGCCUGCAAGGCUGGAGACCCAGGUUCCAUUUCCUGAGUCAGGAAGAUCCCCUGGAAAAGGCAAAUGAUAACCCACUACAAUAUACUUACUUGGAAAAUCCCAUGGACAGGCCAUGGGCUACCAUCCAAGCAGUCAGAGAGAGUAAGACAUGACUAGCUACUAACUCUUUUGAGGUAUUUCAACAAUCGAAGUGACUUAGCACAUAACACACAUGACUCUCCUCCACUUUGCUCUCAUAUUUCCAUCUCAUUGCUUUUUCUGUUCUGCAUUCUAGAUUUCCUUAAUGCUGCUGCUGCUGCUAAGCCGCUUCAGUCGUGUCCGACUCUGUGUGACCCCAUAGACGGCAGCCCACCAGGCUCCCCCAUCCCUGGGAUUCUCCAGGCAAGAACACCAGAGUGGGUUGCCAUUUCCUUCUCCAAUGCAUGAAAGUGAAAAGUGAAAGUGAAGUCACUCAGUCGUAUCUGACUCUUGGCGACCCCAUGGACUGCAG